UGGAUUUACCUGCCUUCUCCGUCCUAC
rnacentral:piRNA from 1 species